GUGGCGAAGAGAUAUCUAUCAAAUACUACAAUUAACAUCCUAUCAGGAAUGGGCAGUUUUAUUUACGCUAGUCUUGACUCCCCGCUCCUGAAUGGAAUGGUCCGCACCAACCGCUCGUCCCUAUUUUCUACAACUGCUUUAGGGAGCAAUGAAGGAAGUAAGCCUCGAGGAUGCGCUGAGGGCAAUUGGCUCAGACCUGCAAAGGAAUCGUGUAGCUGGGCUUGAAGAUCUCAAACAUAUCUUUCUGCGGAAUAGACAAACACCUAAGCUGAACAAUCUCACUGAUAAGGAGUAUCAUAAAAUCUUCGAAACCCUGUUUCGGUUUAUUUCCACCGAGAAGUCCUCCUACAAACGUACGUCGAAGACCCCUGUAUCCAAAUCCACAUCGGGAACGAGACUCACAAGUUGUGUUUCUGCCCUCCGAGCGACUGUUGAGCUGGGUGUACAUAAAAUCCGCUCAAAAACCGUGGCCGCUUUGCUCGACCAUGUCACCGAUGCAAUCCAAACACUGGGAGAUGCACUAUGGGAACUACUUAGCGGCGACUACAUAAAGAUUUUGAAGACAAUAUUGCAGUAUCCGCCUCAUUUGGAGCACUUGAGCAAGGGCGAUUGGCAUCAUGUCGUUAAUUUCUGUCUCCAAGCGACUGGGGUCAUAGAACCAAACCAGGAGACUCAGCUGAGCAUUCGGUCCCGUACACGUCUUCCAUCUGAAAGUCUGGGUGAUCGAGGAAGUCGUGCCAGUUCUAUCGAACCCGAUACUCUUCGGCGCAAUAAAAGUUCCGGAUUUGAGAACAGUACAAAGACCGAAGAGCUAGAGACUUGUAUGCAAUUGUUGUGCUCCUAUCCUUCCGCACCCAUCAUUGAUGAUGCCGAAAAGCUGCUCCAUGGCCUUGUGGACUAUCUUCAAUCACAGAGUAGCAUUUCUAAAACUCCCCAUGCCGCAUUUAGCGCAUUCAAUUCUGUUCUUGCAAAGUUGAUAACGUAUGACAUUAUUCUUGUUAGAGACGCUUUGUUGGAUGUCAUCCCAAUAAUAAAACGAUUCUGGCGUACGAAAUCUGCUAUCUUGAAGGAUGAGAUGUUGAUAACGCUGAUGAUUGGGAGACCCAUUUUCGUUCAAUCUAGUCUCUCAUCUCCACCAGAUUCAUUCGCGGAACGACUCCAAGACCUAACCGAGCAACUGUAUCAGGAGUACACGAGGCAACCAGAAAAGGACUUCAUGCAAGUGGACGAUUUGGUGUUUACGUUUGACCAACCCCCCAGACCUAUGGGCAUCAGGACAAUGGCUCCACGCCUGGGAGUUCCUAGGUCUGAACAAACUUGGAUCACUUUGCAAGCAAUUGCUGUUUUUUCGACGCUUUUAGACAAUAUGUACCUCAGCCUAGAUGAGGGGCCACAAACAACAGGACGACCGAAUAAGAAACAACAUCUCUUGUCAAGGAGAUCCGAUAUUGUUCGUGAAGCUUCGAGUUCUGCAGGAGUAACAAGAAUAUGUGCAUUGCAAUUGCUUCCAUUCAUUUUCUCAGAACGCGAGCCCGUGGUUGAAGAGUUAUUAACAACUAUAGCGCAGCUUACAGUAAAUAUUUUAGACGAAAACAGUUCCACAGCGUCAUGGACCAUGGUAGCACUUGCAAGUAUGGCUAGUUUUAUUGCUGCUACUUCGCAGGAAUUGCGUCCUUUGUGGGUUCAAGUUUGGGAGCUGACUUGUCGCGCCCUGGGCUCUCCCACCACAUCUAGGACUGCUUGUAAUUUGCUGACAGCAAUUCUCCAUUUCGAGCUACUAGAUUAUUCAAUUGUGGGGGAUACAAUUGAAUCGAUGAUAUCCUCUGUUGAUCUUAAUGGCCCCUCAGGUCUAACCGACUCCGCGUUGCGCAUGUGGGCAAAGCUGGUAGACUUCCGAACAAAGUUCAAUCCCGCACAGAACCAAGAUAUGUCAAAGCAAAUUUGCACAUGGAUAAGAAAUAGCUGGACUUUAACUGACCGCGUCUAUACGAUGCAAGUUGCUACCUUUGCACGACCUUUGGACCUUCUCAAUAUCCUGAUGAAGUGCACUGGGAGAUCUUUCGACCCUCCCUAUCCUGUCCUUCCGGGGCCUCUUUGCAGGAUCUCAAGGUGCUUUAUUAGGCUCCGUCAGGAUUGCAAGCUGAUUGAUUAUCUGUUUCUCACAGCACGACAAGGUCCUGCAAAUGAGACCACAGCGGAUACGGCAAGGCUUACAUAUAUUAGCUCUUCAGUGAAGCAGCACCCCGAUGACCAACUUAUUUUGGAACUAUUGCAAUCGAAAAUAGACAAUUUCUGUCAAAUUUGGAGUCAGCUAAACGAUGAUAAUCACCAACAUGUUACCAUUGAAAUCAUUCAGAUUUUAGUAUCUCUCUGCAUCACAAGUACCGUAUUUACUCAAUCACUUCCGUUACCUGUUUCACUCCGGUGUCAAUAUUUACAGAAAAGCACUGAAAAGCUUUGGGUAAGCCUCUGUGGCUUUUUCUCGAGGAAUGAAGUGGAAUUUCUUGAUUCCUGCUUGGAUGUUCUGUCUCCAAUCAUUCUGCGCUUGAAGCUGUCAUUCGACAUCAAUGAUCCAGUUAUGAAGGCCAUUCAACUUAUCGCUCCUGAUUUUAUUGCCGUCUUAGACCAUCACAAUGGUGCAGAGCUGGACUCGUCUAAUUCCGCAGCUGACCAAAUGGAUCUCGAUAAUCAUUUUUCAUCUCAAGAUAGCCACAUAAGAGAUAACGACUUCGCUCCGAAAUUCGAUCGAGAGGAUAUCCCUGCAUACGGGGACCAGAAUGCAGUUCGCCGUGCGACAGCCACUCACCUACAUAUAUUAUAUUACCUAAACGGCGCAAACAAGAGUUCCGAAGCCCCUAGGAAUGGGACCAUAGUCGCUCAUGUCACAUCACUUGACACUGCGGACAUUCUCGCUGCUCGAACCAAUCUGGUAGCCCUUCUUGGCAGCUGGCCAAGCAUUUCUAGAUCCGACGCCUGCAGUUUGCUUGUGUUCUUCGGGGAAACGAUACUACAAUCAUAUGAGUUUAAAAUGUGCGAAGCUGCUUUAUCCAUUUGUAUUGAACUUACGACAGCUUUUAUUGAUCUUUGGACUACGGACGAAGACGACGAACUUUUUGAAUCUGCUGUUGAUCUUUACAAUUGGUAUGCGUUACUAGUUGAAGAAAGCUUGGGUUCCCCAAGAGUCCUGAUAAGGAUUGCUACGUUGAUGGGACGUAUCCUUCGAGCUGACCCCAUGUAUCCAAGGGACAGCUCGCGUCCCUCGCCCCGUACUAUCCUGUUUAAGAUCUUACACGACGGGGAUCUUACUGUGAAGUUCCACCUGUCCGGGAUUAUUCCAUCAGUGUUCGACGGCUUUAUUUUAAAAGAACAUGACGCCAUAUUUGACGAUAUUCUGGAGAACCUUCCUCGUGACCCUGACCGGAACGAAGGCAUUGCAUUACGCCUAUAUCUCCUAGCACAAUUAGCGUCUAGAUGGCAUACCCUUCUACGCCGCGGAAUAUAUCACAUAUUUGAAGCUCCCGGGCAACUGCCCAAAUCAGCGCCAUAUGCAAAAGCUUGCUUACAAGAGGUCGCGCGUUCCCUCAACCUCGAUGAUGCUAAAGAAAUUUUUAGGCUCUUUGCCUCUCAGAUGAUAUAUACGUGGCUCGAAACAGAGUCUUUGGGGUCCAUUCCGUUUACCAUAUUUGGUUAUCAGGCGCUUAAUGACUUACUAAUAGAUGUUGAGGACGAAGUUGUAGCCCAAAUUGUGAUGCGGGGCAAGGAUCAAGAGAUGACCGAGGUUUCGAAUUGUUUGGGUAUGACCUUCCGAGGAUUACUGGAGCACUGUUUUUAUAAAGCCGAAGCAUACUGUAUUGCCCGCGACAUAAGCAUCCCACCUUCACAGGACAGCCAGCCAAAAGGAACCCAGGGUCGCAUCAAGAAGAUUCUGGGGGCUGAACAAUUUGGUUCCUUACUGGAAAGAUAUUUCCCUGAAACAAUUGCCGUAUUUUUCAAAUGCGUGGACCAAACGGAAC
rnacentral:sRNA from 2 species